GCUGUGAGUUUAACACUUCAUGACUGAGAGCAGAACACACACACUCUUCAUCAUCACACAAGACUAAACUACAACUAUGAACAACAUCAUCAUCUUCAUCUGGACUCUCUGUAUAUUUGUUCAAGGUUUCAGUGGACAGGUGACUGUGACUCAGACUCCUUCUGUAAAAACGGUUCAAAUUGGUGAAUCAGUCUCUAUAAACUGCAAAACAAACACAGUAGUGAGCAAUUCCUGUCCAGGUUCAUAUACUUGUAUGCACUGGUACUCACAGAAACCUGGAGAAGCUCCUAAACUCCUCAUAUAUUAUGCAACAACCCUUUAUACUGGAACUCCAUCUAGAUUCAGUGGCAGUGGAUCUGGCAGUGAUUUUACUCUGACCAUCAGUGGAGUCCAGACUGAAGAUACAGGAGAUUAUUACUGUCAGAGUUAUCAUAAUAGUUAUGUGUUCACACAGUGAUAAAGAGUCGUACAAAAACCUCUGUCAGUCAGACGUCACAGUGACUGCACUGAUACAGCUGAGAGAAACUGCAGCUGCUGAUGGAGGAUCACAAACUACACAA